rnacentral:lncRNA from 13 species
UCCUGUUCUUAAAGAAACAAUUUGUAAAAGACUCAAGCUAGGAAAUUGUUAAGUGACAAGUUUGUUGGUACAAACCACAGGUGCUGUAGAUAUUUAAAGGAGGAGGAAACUAGAGUCUAGAAGAUCAGUCAGGGAGGAUAUAGGAAUUGGACCUAGAGCUGGGUCAUCUUAAAAGAUGUAGGAGGGGAGUACACUGGGUCCCAGUAAGACAAGAGGAGACUAUGUGUUAGACAUGGUGCUCAGCGAUUUACAUGCGUACAAUGCCUCGUUUAGUACGCUGAAGAACUGAAAGAAGAUGUAUUAUCAUCCUUGUUUUACAGAUGUACAAACAUAGUUUCAAAGAGGUUAAGAUGUUUACCAAAAUCACGCAGUGAAUGCUGAUAGUAGGUAGAAAAACAAAUCUCUUUGACUCUAGGGCUCUGUUUUACCUUCCCAGGGACAAGAAUGAACACGCUGUGUUGUAUGACAGUGAACCACCAAGAAAUACAAAGAAUGUGUGUUGAGGAGCCCAGAGUUAACACUGCAUAGUUAUAGCUUUCGUCCUGCAUUCUUCUAUGAACAGACGACAGAAGAAGCUAGACAACAUCUUUAACACGCUGCCUGGAAAGCUCCUCAGCUAUAUAUCCAGUUCAUUAGAUCUCCCUUACAGAAGCAAGAAGUUGGACCCAGGCAAAUCUCUGAAUCCACCGAAGAUAGUUGAGACUUGGAUGUUAAAUGAGAUGUUCAGUGAAUCACAACUCUCCUACCACAGAUAUGGGCAUUUGAACACGUGCCCUUGCUAGCGUAGUGGGGAAAAAUGAGCUGUGUCUGUAUGAAUAAAAACCAGAUGGGGCUGUGGCUCUCUGCCUUCAGCGUGACUUGCUCCACACCAUCAAGACUCAUUGGCAUGCAUCUGCAUUCUGCUCCCUGCCCAUGGUCAAUUUUUCAAGAACUAAGUAUCAGUGAGAAGUCUCUUAUUGAAAUAGCCAUGAAAAGACAGAAAACAGAGUCUGAACGACACCAGAAACUACUGAAAUCAUUCAAUAAUAGCAUUCAAACUAAAGUGAGUUUCAUGAAGGAGAUAUUCUGGAGGGGAGAAUGUCUGAACUAGAUAGAAAAAUCACUCGGACACAGGAAACAAAACAACUACGUUACAUCUACACUUGCAAUAUAGUCUACGGCCACAGCACCCUGAAUGCGCCCGAUCUCCUCUCACUUGCAAUAUGGAGCCCAGGCUACAACCAGAUAGUCUGACUGUUCUUCCUCUUGCUGUAAGAGAAUGGAUUUUGGAGACAUAUAAAGACACUACUUCCAUCGAAGCUCCUUCUCUCAUCGGCAAUUAUUUUGUUUCCAACUUCUAACUUUCACAAUAUAAAACUACUGUAGCUGAAAGAGGAGCAUACGAACUGUGGCAGUAGAAAUAUAUAUUUACACAUGUAAGAGCUAAAAAAAUCCCACCCAUGUAUUCUUCCUGAAAAGGUUAUUCUAAGGUAUAAUCUAGUUGACAGAUAAUGUGAAGCAAGUGUGAAAACUCAAGAAAAAAGUUGGAGCAUAAAAGGAUUGGAAGUACAAUUCUAUCAGUUCACAUACAUAGUUCUGUUGAAAUAUUUAAUUAUUGUUUUUAAAAAGUGCUAAAGUAAAAACAAUCUGGAAAGUGAUAUACAACAAAAAUAAUAUCUAGCUGCAUAACUUUAAUUAUGUUAUAAAGAUUGGGUAAUGGUGAGUAAAAGCAGUAAAACUAUAUUAAAUUCCUUAGUUUACAUUAAUAUGGGCUAGUUUCUAUCAAAACCAUUGGAAUUAUGAAGACAAAGUGGAAAAACGUGUUUGACAAUUCAAGAAAAUAAAAAUGGACACAAAUUUUAAAUGAUAUAAUGA